rnacentral:lncRNA from 1 species
CGGACUGGUGACUUUCUAAAAGAAAACAAGGUUUUCAGUAGAGUUUCUAGGAAUCUAGAGAACAAUGGCAAUACUAUCAAUGGUGAGUUAGGAUUAGAGUUUACCUGACAUCUUCGGUCAAAUCCUCUGCCGAUUCAUAGGUAGCUAACCGGAGAUAGAUUGUCUAGUCGAGAACAACACGCGCAAUGAAUUAGGAACACCGUGGCAUAAUUUGGGAAGACGAUGUUAGUGUUUGUACUUACGCAAAUGAGGAACUAUACAAACAAAUAAAACUUGAAUGUAAAGCUUUUGGCAUGGUAGAAAAGAGCAGUGUACCAGUAGAAGACCAACGACA